rnacentral:sRNA from 1 species
UAUCGAAGAAGAGGGUUCCGGUCGGGGU